GGAACAGGCCUUUCAGGCAUCCUCUCCCAAAGACUUUCCAAGGGCCGGUCAUCGCGAUCGGCCCUUUUUUUGUCUGGAU
rnacentral:sRNA from 1 species